UUUUCCUACGGUCGUGCCCUGCAGGC
rnacentral:miRNA from 1 species